GGUGUUGGGCAGUUGCUCUUCACGGGUGCAUCACCCCCUGGGGGCUGGAGCAGCUAUCUGGGUCACUGAGAACCUAAGAGGCUCUUCCCUAGGGCAGCCCAACUCAGAAGGACAGCCUGAGAAUGUAGGCGGAUCUUUUCACAGUCUGGCCGAGCUUGUUGCAGCUUUUCUGGGCUGCAGGGGCUCUUCCAGGGGGCUGGUGGUGCUGAGCAGUUAUUUCACGGGAGUGGGGCACCCCCUGGGGGCUUGGGCGGGUAGCAGGGCCGUUGGAGACCCAAGAGGCUCCUCCCCAGGGCAGCCGGACUCAGAAAAACCAUCUGAGAUCUUUUCCAGAAAAACCAUCUGAGAUCUUUUCCCGACUUGGCCAGGCUUGUUGCAGCUUUUCUGGGCUGCCUGGGGUCCUGCCUGGAGCUGGUCCACUAGAGCAUCCCCUGGGGGCUUGGGCGGGUAGCAGGGCCGUUGGAAACCUAAGAGGCUCCUCCCCGGGGCAACCCGUCUCAGGAAAACCGUCCGAGAAUUAGGCCGAUCUAUUCACAGCCUGGCUAAGCUUGUUCUAGCUUUUCUGGGCUGCAGGCCUUUUCUCGGGGGCUGGUGGUGUUUGGUGCUGCUCUGCGGAAGUGUAGCCCCUCCAAAGGGCAAGCAGGCCUGUGCAGGGACAGCCCCUGCGGUGGUAGGCUUCAGGCAAUUGUUGAGGCCAGCCCUCCUGGAUGGCAGGCAGCCCCAGGUCUGUGAAAGCGUAGGACGUGGCAGGGGUGGGGGGAGGGGAUGCACUGGGAAGCACAGCUUUCAGCUAGCUAGCGGGCCUGUAAGCUUGCUGUGGCGUGGGGGGUAUUCUAUGGGGACCCACCCCUUCUUCUCUCCCCUCCCCAGCACGGGCGCAGACCAGGCUCUUCUCCCAGGUUCCCUCUGAUGCGGCUUUCCACUUCCCCGCUCCUAGAGUAUUGCUCCCUUCCUCUGGGACAGCUUUGUUUUCUAGUCUCCCAGGCAGUCUCUGCCCUGUCAAAUGGUUUCUAGACCUCCCAAGCAGUUUCUGCUCUGCCCCGCCCCCCUAGCCUGGGGACUAAUCUCUGGAGCCAAGGUCUCGGUGCCCAGCCCCCACCCAGGCGUCCCCCGGCUCCCUCUCAGGGACUAACCGUCGGCGGCGAGGUCUCAUGCCCAGCCCCCACCCAGGUGUCUCAAUUUUUGGUGACUGUGCCCGUAGUUCAGAUGGUCCAUUGGGUUCUUGAUUGGCUUUUCCAUACUCCAAGUUACUGCUACACUCUUCUCUGCAUCUGGAGAUUCCUCCAGUUCGUUUGAUCUUUCCCCCGGUAGGUGACUUUCCAGGGUGCGGGAUCCCUUUCUCCUCUCCAGUUCCCUUUCGGGAGCGCCCAUCCCGCUCGAAUUCACCUUCUCUCACUCUCCUCUUUUCUCCCGUUCUGCCCAAUAAUGUCACGAACUUCUUGCCAUUAUUGGAGUUUAGGUUCC
rnacentral:lncRNA from 1 species